CCCUUAGAUGUUCUGGGCCGCACACGCGCUACACUGAAGGAGGCAGCGUGUACUCCUGGAUCGAAAGAUUUGGGUAACCCGCGAAUCUCCUUCGUGCUAGGGAUUGAGGUUUGCAAUUAUCCUUCAUGAACGAGGAAUUCCCAGUAAGUGCAAGUCAUAAGCUUGCGCUGACUACGUCCCUGCCCUUUGCACACACCGCCCGUCGCUACUACCGAUUGAAUGAUUUAGUGAGGACUUCGGACUGGGACCGAUGCGGCUUUCGGGCUGCGUCGGUAUUCUGGAAAGAUGUCCAAACUGUAUCAUUUAGAGGAAGUAAAAGUCGUANCA
rnacentral:rRNA from 1 species